rnacentral:rRNA from 1 species
GACGAACGCUGGCGGCGCGCUUAACACAUGCAAGUCGAACGGAAAGGCCUGCUUUCCCUUGUGGAUUGCGGGUACUCGAGUGGCGAACGGGUGAGUAACACGUGAGUGAUCUGCCCCCAACUUGGGUAUAAGCCUGGGAAACUGGGUCUAAUUCCCGAUAGGACUGCAGGGUGGUGCCUGUGGUGGAAAACGAUUUUCUAGUGGUUGGGGAUGAGCUCGCGGCCUAUCAGCUUGUUGGUGGGGUAAUGUCCUACCAAGGCGGCGACGGGUAGCCGGCCUGAGAGGGUGGACGGCCACAUUGGGACUGAGAUACGGCCCAGACUCCUACGGGAGGCAGCAGUGGGGAAUAAUGCACAAUGGGCGGAAGCCUGAUGCAGCGACGCCGCGUGGGGGAUGACGGCCUUCGGGUUGUAAACUCCUUUCGACCGCGAGGAAGCCACCUGGUUGGAAGGGUGGUGACGGUAGUGGUAGAAGAAGCACCGGCUAACUACGUG